GGAGCGUCCGGGACGCGGCGGGACUCGAGUGUUUCGGAAAAGGAGCGUCUCCCCAGGCGGUGGUUGUCUUCACUAGCGAUGGGGUAAAAGGAGGACGCAAUACCUGGUUCAACUUGAGCAGACGGAGUCUCGCUAUGUUGCCCAGGCUGGGGUGCAGUGGCGUGAUCUCUGCUCACUGCAAGCUCCGCCUCCCGGGUUCACGCCAUUCUCCUGCCUCAGCCUCCCGAGUAGCUGGGACCACAGGCGCCCGCCACCACGCCCGGCUGAUUUUUUUUAUUUUUAGUAGAGACGGGGUUUCACCGUGUUAGCCAGGAUGAUCUCAAUCUCCUGACCUCGUGAUCCGCCCGCCUGGGCCUCCCAAAGUGCUGGGAUUACAGGAAUGAGCAUCUCUAGCCUCUGCCUGUUCAUCUGGGACAAUCUGCACCUGGGCGUGGACCUGCUGCUUCAGAUCAGUAGGUAUCAGAAUGAACUCAGUUGGAUGGGGCAGUUCAGGACCCCUGGCCUCCUUUUAGUCUGGACCCCACUCUCAUUCCUCAUAUUCUCAAUUCACUCUUUCUACUGAGUUACUAUCCUAGUAAUGACAAUGCCUCCUAUCAUCUAGAGACUUGGUUUGAUACAAUGCAUUCACAUACAACUGCUCGUUUUGAUUUCUAUAACUGGGGAAUACAGAAAGCAAAUAUGCGGUGCAAUGGAGGAUGUCUCCAUUACCCCAGAUAACUCCAAAAUUCUUCACCUAGUUACCAGUGCAGGAAAUUCGUUCGAAGGCAGAAAUGGAAAAUGAAUAAGAAACAAUUUGGAUGUGUUCCAAAAAUGGAGAGUUGUCAGGCACUAUAUCAUACAACCUGAAAUAUCAAUGGUGAAGUAGACAGUUCACCUCCACAGGGGGCAGGAGGUUGGACCCAGGGCAAUGGAUGUUUUAUAUGGAUGGUUAACCGGUCUGUGGCCAUGAGGUGGAAAGCUGUGUACACCUGUGAAGCCAUCAUCACAAUCAAGUUAGGGAACAUAUCCAUCACCCAAAAAAGUGUUCUCAUGCCCUUUGGUAAUUCCUCCCUCCUAAAUGUCCCCACCCUACCCCACAUCCCAGUUUCUAUGCAAAAACCGCUGACCAACUUUCUAUCACUAUAGAUUUGUUUGUAUUUUCUAGACUUUUAUAUAAAAAGAAUUAUACUGUAUGUACACUUUUUUGUCUGUUUUUUUCACUUAACAUAUUUAUUUUCAGAAUCAUCUAUCUUGUUGCAGGUGUAUUCCUUUUUAUUGCUCAGUAGUAUUCCACUGUAUGGAUAUAACACAAUUUGUUUAUCAUUCACCUGUUGAGGGACAUUAUACUUGCUUCUAAAUUUUUACUAUCACAAAUAAAGCUGCUGUAGGCAUUCAUGUGUGUGUCCAUCGUGUGGACAUUGUGUGCACACGUGCUUCCAUUUCUCUUGGGGAAAUAUCUAGGAGCAGAGUGUCUGGAUCCCAUAGUAGGUAUUUGUUUAACUUUUUAAACUGUUUUUCAAAGUGGUUAUACUGUUUUUCAUUUUCACCAUCAAUGCAUGAGGGUCCCAGUUGCUCCACAUCCCCACCCAUACUUUCUGUGGUCACUUUAAAAAUUUUUAGCCGCCCCGUCCGGGAGGGAGGUGGGGGGGUCAGCCCCCCGCCCGGCCAGCCGCCCCGUCCGGGAGGUGAGGGGCACCUCUGCCCGGCCGCCCCUACUGGGAAGUGAGGAGGCCCUCUGCCCGACCACCACCCCGUCUGGGAGGUGUACCCAACAGCUCAUUGAGAACGGGCCAUGAUGACAAUGGCGGUUUUGGGGAAUAGAAAGGGGGGAAAGGUGGGGAAAAGAUUGAGAAAUCGGAUGGUUGCCGUGUCUGUGUAGAAAGAGGUAGACAUGGGAGACUUUUCAUUUUGUUCUGUACUAAGAAAAAUUCUUCUGCCUUGGGAUCCUGUUGAUCUGUGACCUUACCCCCAACCCUGUGCUCUCUGAAACAUGUGCUGUGUCCACUCAGGGUUAAAUGGAUUAAGGGCGGUGCAAGAUGUGCUUUGUUAAACAGAUGCUUGAAGGCAGCAUGCUUGUUAAGAGUCAUCACCACUCCCUAAUCUCAAGUAUCCAGGGACACAAACACUGCGGAAGGCCGCAGGGUCCUCUGCCUAGGAAAACCAGAGACCUUUGUUCACUUGUUUAUCUGCUGACCUUCCCUCCACUAUUGUCCUGUGACCCUGCCAAAUCCCCCUCUGCGAGAAACACCCAAGAAUGAUCAAUAAAAAAAUAAAAAUAAAAAAAGAAACCCUACACUCCACUGAAAAAAAAAAUUUUACUCACUCUAAUAUGUAUAUAAUGGUAUUUCAUUGUAGUUUAAAUUUGCAUUUUUCAAAUAACUAGUGAUGUUGAACAAAUUUUAUUGUACUUAUUGCCAUCCAGAUAUCUUCUUUGGUGAAAUGUCUGUUUCAGUUUUACUUUCUUUCUUUUCCUUUACUUGGUGAUAUGGUUUGGCUGUGUCCCCACCGAAAUCUCAUCUUGACUUCCCACAUGUUAUGGGAAGGACCUGGUGAGAGGUAAUUGAAUCAUGGGGGCAAGUCUUUCCCAUGCUGUUGUCAUGAUAGUGAAUAAGUCUUACAAGAUCUGAUGGUUUUAAAAAGAGGAAUUCCCCUGCACAAGCUCUCUGUCUUUGCUUUCUGCCAUCUGUGUAAGACGUGACUUGCUCCUCCUUACCUUCUGCCAUGAUUGUGAGGCUUCCCCAGCCACGUGGAACUGUGAGUCCAGUUAAACCUCUUUCCUUUGUAAACUGCCCAGUCUCAGGUAUGUCUUUAUCGGCAGCGUGAAAAUUGACUAAUACACUUGGGAUGUUUGGUUUUCCAAUUGUUGAGCUGUUUGUUGAGUUUUAAGAGUUCUAUAACUAUUCUAGAAGCAAGUCCAUUAUCAGAUGUGUGGUUUGCAAAUAUUUAUUUCCAGUCUGCGGCUUGUCUUUUCAUUCUAUUAAAUGUGUCUUUAGCCAGGCAUGGUAGUGGGUGCCUGUAGCUUCAGCUACUUGAGAGGCUGAGGCAGGAGGAUUUCUUGAGCCCAGGAGUUUAAGCCUGGUCUGCACAAUAGAGCAAGACUCUGUCUCCAAGAUAAAAAGAAAUUAAAGUGUCUUUCAAAGAUCAGAAUUCUUAAUUUUGAAGUGCAGCUUAUUUUCUUUAAUGGAUUCUGCUUUUGGUGUCACAUUUGCCUAACUCAAGGUCACAAAGAUUUUAUUACAGAAGUUCUGUAGAUUUCAGUUUUACAUUUAAGAUGGUGAUCCAUUUUGAAUGAGUUUUUAUAAAUGCUGAAGUAUGAAACAAAGUGUGUAUCUGUACGUAUGUGCCUAGGGAAAUGCAAUCAUCCCAGCACUGUUAAAAAGACUAUUCUUUCUCCACUGACUUGCCUUUGCACCUUUGUCAAUAACCAAUUGAUAAUAUAUGUGCAAAUCUAUUUGUAGACUCUGUUCUGUCCCAUUUAUUUGUUUGUCUCUUUUUAAAGUUAAUACCACACUGUCUUGACUAUAGUAGAUUCAUAACAAGAAUUGAAGUCAGGUAAUGUAAAUACUCAGGUAGUGUAAAUACUCAAACGUUCUUCUUUCUCAAAGUGUGCAGUUGUUUGGUUAUUCUGUUUUCUUUGCAUCUACAUAUGAAUAUUAGAAUCAGCUGGUCAUUCUUUACAAAAAGCCUGCCAAGAUUUUAAUUGAGAUUGCAUUAAAUCUAUAGGUCAAUUUUUAGGCAAUGAACAGUUUGACAGUAUUGAGGCUUCUGAUAUGUGAACGCGGUAUAUCUUUCAUUUAUUUAAGUCUUCUUAAAUUAUCUCCACAGUCUUUCAUAGUAUUCAAUGUACAGGCCUGAUAUAUAUGUUAUUAGAUUUGUUUCUAAAUAUUUCACUUUCUUUGUCCUAUUGUAAAUGGCAUUAUUUAUUUAUUUAUUUAUUGAGACAAGAUCUCACUCUGUCACUGAGGCUGCAGUGCAGUGACGCAAUCUCAGCCCACUGCAACCUCUGCCCCCCAGACUCAAGUGAUCCUGCCACGUAGCUGGGACUACAGGCAUGCGCCACCAUGCCUGGCUAAUUUUUUGUAUUUUUUGUAGAGAUGGGCUUUUGCCGUGUUGUUCAGGCUGGUCUUGAAUUCCUGGCCUCAAGCAACCCACCCCCCUUAGCUUCCCAAACUGCUGGGAUGACAAGUGUGAGCCACUACAUCUGGCCUUUGGCAUUGUUUUUCAUUUCAAUCUCUAAUUGUUUAAACAUUUGAUUUUUGUGUAUUUAUCUUGUAUCACACAACUUUGCUUAAUUCAAUUAUUCUGAUUUUUUUGUAGCUUCAGUAGAAUUUUUCUUACAUAGAUAAUCAUGCUGUUUGUAAAUAUAGACACUUUUACUUCCUCCUUUCAAAUCUGGGUGCUAUUUAAUUCUUUUCUGUCUGAUUGCACUGCCUAAUAACCUCCCAUGCAAUGUUGACUAGAAAUGGAGACAGUGUGUACCCUUGUGUUGUUCCUGAUCCUAUGUGAAAAUAAUCCAGUCUUUCACCAUUAAAUAUAAUGUUAGCUGUAGGCUUUUCAUAGAUUCUCUUUAUCAGGUUGAGGAAGUUCUCUUCUAUUUCUAGCUUCCUGCAAAUUAUGUUUUAAAAAUUAGGAAUGUGUAUUAAAUAUUAUCAAAGUUUUCUUCUGCAUCUAUUCUAUUGAGAUGAUCAUAUGGGUUUUUUUAUUCAUUAAUAUGUGAAUUAUCUUGAUUGAUUUUUGAAUGUUAAAUCAAUCUUGUGUCCCUGAAAUAAUCCUAACCCCACUUGGUCAUGAUAUAUCAUAGUUUUAAAUUAUUGAUGAAUUCAAUUUGCAAAAACAUGUUAAGAAUAUUUACAUUGAUGUUUAUGAGGGUACUGAUCUGUUGUUUUCUUUCUUUGUCUGGUUUGAUAUCUAAGAAAUGUUGGCCUCAUAGAAUUGUUAAGUGUUUCUUCCGCUUUAAUUUUAUGGAAGUGUUUGUGUAGAAUUGGUCUUAUUUCUUCCUUAGAUGAUUGGCAAAAAUCACAAUGAUGCCAUCAGGACCUAUAGUUUUCUUUGUGGGGAGGUUUUUACCUAUAAAUGUAAUUUCUUUAAUAUAUAUUCUUUAAGGCUGGGUACGGUGGCUCACGCCUGUAAUCC
rnacentral:lncRNA from 1 species